GCUUGUAAACGUUUCUCUUAUCUCUGUUCAAUCUUAAGCUCCGUGAUCGAUUUCGAAUCACCAUCAACUAUCAUUGUGAUUAAGCAGCGGUUUUUUCAUCUGAUUGUUACUUCUCUUCCACUAUUCACCGCUGGAUGACUCGAUUCCAAGACUUUAGCCGGGAAUCUCUAUAGUAGAUCUCUCUCUUAUGCAUAUCUGGGUUUUUUUCAUUUGAUCUUCCGAUUGAUUGCUUAUGGUUGACCUUUGAUUAUUCUCAUAUAUGCAUAUGACAGUCUAAUGUUUUUUGUUAAUUCAUCUUCUGCUUUCUAAUUCCAUAUCUAAUUCAGUUUCAAUGUAUAAUUUUUUCCUGCUUUCGCCCAGGUAUAUAAAUGAGUUGUUUGCUUGUAUAAGAGUUUUCUAACAUAAGAUUCUUUAGACUAUGUUGUACUGGUCUUACUGUAUAUAUGUAUUCGUUCAUUGUUCCUUUGUUAUGCUUAAGGAAAUGUAUUAUGUAAGAAUCAUGUAAGGUAUGUGUUUGACAUGGCGCUUUCUUCAAGAUACACAAUUUCUAAUCAGAAGAGGAUUUGAGAAAAAUUCAACUUGAAUCGCUUGGAUGCACCUCCUAUAUAAAUUGAUAAAUUUCUUGGUUUAUAUUAGAACAGUAACAUGGCUUCACGGUGAUCAAACAAUAUUAACUUGUAGGCAUGGCUUCAUGGUUUCUAUUAGUUUGGUUUGAAUCUCGUCGAUCUUGUUGGUGGUGAAUUUAAUAAAAAAAUUGUAGGCAUGGCCAUUUGACUUUCCCUAUUGACAAAAUGUUUAUGUCACCAAAUCAUUGGGGGAUUCUUUUAUUUAAUCAUGAAUUCAAAUGCAGGACUGUAGGCAUGGCAAAGCGUGGGGAAUUGCUCACAAAGAUGGUGGGUUCUGUUCUAUCAUCUGUUUCCUUAUUCAAAUGUGUAUCAGUUAAAAUACGUCACUUGCUUUGUACUUUUACGAUUCAUACCAGUUGGCUAGGAUAGAGUAAGAACAUAGACCGGUCUUUGAUUUCUUUCAACCUGAGUUCACUUAUCAGUGUCCUGCUGUUUUCACUUAUCAGUGUCCUGCUGUUUUCACUUCUAUCAACUAAUAGAUGUCCUCUUCAGGCUCUCUGAUUUUAGUAAAACAAAACUAUAUGACAUGCAAAAGAUGAAGAAACAGAAAGAAAGGGAAGAUGUGUGAACUGAAUAUAAAUCUUGGCAAAUUUGGAGGAAAAAUUGGUGGUGGAAGUCCAAAGAGCAGAGGGAAACAUAAGCUAGAGGAGAGAGUCUUCAAAUCAAUUGUAGUGUAUUUCAAGAGUAGUGUUCUUGAUAGCAUUUGCUACAUUUUUGUUCUUGAAGAACUAACGACAGAGAUAAGAAAAUUACCAAUUACGGUAAGACCAAGAUCUGAGGAGAAAUUGGAGGAGGCAAAGAGAGUAGAUGACAAAAGAGAAGAGGCAACAAAAGGAAAGGAAAGUAAUUGUGGUAACGAAAAGUGAGAAAUAAAAAUUACUAUAACACCAUGUAUUCUAUAAUGGACCUAUAAUUUAGAGUUAUAAUAAGUAACUAAG